GUUGUCAUUCGCUGAAAAAGAUGCCGGUGAGUGUUUCAUUGGAUAGAGUGUUCUAAUUCUUUUAAGAGUAAUGGAUUUUUGCGGCGUGCACGAGUGCUUUUUAGAUGAACCUGGUGAUGAACUAUGAUGCAUUUUGGCUGGUGGAGGCUUCAGGCAUAUCUUAUAUUGAGGACUAUUUUGUGAUGUUUUGGUUUAUUGAGCCAUAACCUUGACUUUUUUUUACCAUGAUAGUGACUGAAAAGGAAAAGAAA
rnacentral:lncRNA from 1 species